CACGUAGGGUGCGAGCGUUGUCCGGAAUUAUUGGGCUUAAAGAGCUCGUAGGCGGUGUGUCGCGUCGGCCGUGAAAACCUGCAGCUUAACUGUGGGCUUGCGGUCGAUACGGGCAUCACUGGAGUUCGGCAGGGGAGACUGGAAUUCCUGGUGUAGCGGUGAAAUGCGCAGAUAUCAGGAGGAACACCGGUGGCGAAGGCGGGUCUCUGGGCCGAUACUGACGCUGAGGAGCGAAAGCAUGGGGAGCGAACAGG
rnacentral:rRNA from 1 species